AUUGACCGCUGGCGGCAGGCCUAACACAUGCAAGUCGAACGAGUGGCGGACGGGUGAGUAAUGUCUGGGAAACUGCCUGAUGGAGGGGGAUAACUACUGGAAACGGUAGCUAAUACAGCAUACCAUCAGAUGUGCCCAGAGGGGAUUAGCGAGUUGGUGGGGUAACGGAUCACCAAGGCGACGAUCCCUAGCUGGUCUGAGAGGAUGACCAGCCACACUGGAACUGCUACACGGUCCAGAUUCCUACGUGAGGCAGCAGUGGGGAAUAUUGCACAAUGGGCGCAAGCCUGAUGCAGCCAUGCCGCGUGUAUGAAGAAGGCCUUCGGGUUGGAAAGUACUUUCAGCGGGGAGGCGUGACCCGCAGAAGAAGCACCGGCUAACUCCGUGCCAGCAGCCGCGGUAAUAC
rnacentral:rRNA from 1 species